AUUGAACGCUGGCGGCAUGCCUUACACAUGCAAGUCGAACGGUAACAGGUCUUCGGAUGCUGACGAGUGGCGAACGGGUGAGUAAUACAUCGGAACGUGCCCAGACGUGGGGGAUAACGAGGCGAAAGCUUUGCUAAUACCGCAUACGAUCUAAGGAUGAAAGCAGGGGACCGCAAGGCCUUGCGCGUUUGGAGCGGCCGAUGGCAGCUUAGGUAGUUGGUGGGAUAAAAGCUUACAAAGCCGACGAUCUGUAGCUGGUCUGAGAGGACGACCGGCCACACUGGGACGGCGAAAAGGCCCAGACUCCUACGGGAGGCAGCAGUGGGGAAUUUUGGACAAUGGGCUAGAGCCUGAGCCCGCAAUGCCGCGUGCAGAAUGAAGGCCUUCGGGUUGUAAACUGCUUUUGUACGGAACGAAAAGGCUCUGGCUAAUACCUGGGGCACAUGACGGUACCGUAAGAAUAAGCACCGGCUAACUGCGUGCCAGCCGCCGCCGUAAGAC
rnacentral:rRNA from 1 species